CCUACGGGGGACAGCAGUGGGGAAUAUUGGGCAAUGGGCGCAAGCCUGACCCAGCAACGCCGCGUGAAGGAAGAAGGCUUUCGGGUUGUAAACUUCUUUUAAGAGGGAAGAGCAGAAGACGGUACCUCUUGAAUAAGCCACGGCUAACUACGUGCCAGCAGCCGCGGUAAUAAGUAGGUGGCAAGCGCUGUCCGGAUUUUCUGGGUGUAAAGGGCGUGUAGCCGGGCUUACAAGUCAGAUGUGAAAUUCCCGGGCUCAACCCCGGACCUGCAUUUGAAACUGUUGGUCUUGAGUAUCGGAGAGGCAGGCGGAAUUCCUAGUGUAGCGGUGAAAUGCGUAGAUAUUAGGAAGAACACCAGUGGCGAAGGCGGCCUGCUGGACGACAACUGACGGUGAGGCGCGAAAGCGUGGGGAGCAAACAGGAUUAGAUACCCCUGUAGUC
rnacentral:rRNA from 1 species